ACAAUUCCAGGGUUGGGACUCAAACCAUGGUCUUUUAUGUGCAGUGCUCUUUUCUUUACACUUUGAUGUCUAUACUAUUCAUUAAAAUCAUGGAAUUCUAGCUCUGAAAUGGACUUAAUACAUUCUUAGAUUUUGCAAAAUAAAGACUUAGGCCAAGGAGGAUGUAUAAGAAAAAGGAACCAGAAAGAACAGAGAAAAGGAAGACACCGAGGAAACCAGAAGAGGGGCUUAAAAGGGAAAUAUAAAAAGGAGGCUCAUCAUUGAGAAAACUUUAUCAUCUAAAAGAUCUACACAUCAGUAACCUCUGCGACUGAAAGGUGGAAUAAUGAACUGUAAAACCUGAAUUUGAGGAGGGGUUCAGUAUAUAUCUUUUCAUUUCCUACCUGGCUGCACUACUUCAGAAAUUCUCUGAUUUCACCAUGCCCCAUAUCAGGACUGCAUGUUGCCGUGAUGAUCACAUGCACAGACACGGAUGGUCACGGUCCCUGUGCUGCUUUGAAUUGGGUAGUCAUUGUCAGAGAUCACCACAGGCAGGAGUUUUCACAUUUGGCAAUUUUGAUAGAAUCAUGUGAUCACAGAUUUAGAAGUGGAAGGAACAUCAGAGACCAAUUUUCUCAUUUUCCAGAAAAUCUCAUUUGUCAAGCCAAAAAUGUCAUCAGAAAUUGAACAACCAGCAACUGAAAAAAGACACAUCCAAACUGAGCUAUUCUCUUUGUCUUCUGAAACAUCGUAAGAAAUUAAAAGCAGCAGGACAGAACUGAAGAAGUUGGUGAGUAUUUAAUAUAGUUUGAGGCAGGAGACUGCAUGUAGUGAUGAGCAUUAUCAGAGUCUACAAGCUUGCCAAGAAAGGCCAGGGUUGAUUAUUCUAAAGAACUAAUCAGGAAGGAUAGAGAAAUGUAUUUUUACCAUAUCUGUCACUUUCAUAUGGGGUUCACAUCAUCUCUUUAUUAAAUAGAUUAUUAUAAUACUUUGAAGGGAAUAGAAUAAAAUGAAUACAGUGUCA